rnacentral:lncRNA from 1 species
UUUUUGUUUUUUUUUUUUGUUUUUUUUGCCUUUUCUGACUGGUGAUUUGUAUUUUUGUUUUAUUUAUUUAUUUAUUUUUUAGGUUACUACCUUUCUGCUUGUAGAAGAAUCCAAGUAGUUGGGUCUUUUUUUUUUUGGUUUAUAAUGAACAGGCAUUUGAACUGGGCAAACAGGACGACAGCAGCAGUGAGCAUGAGAUCAUUGCAUUGCAGCACUGUAGCAAACUGGCACCCUGCCUUUGCACCCCUUUGGUUCAGGAGACAAACGUGUGUAAUCCUCAUUUCUAAAGUCAGCACAGCCUGGAAGGAUUCCUGGUCUCUCCCACCUUCUACCAUUCUGCUGCCAGUGACGGCAAGGAUUGGUGUAGCUUCUGCGCAGUGCUUUGUGCCUGGAAUACCGAGAAGGAAGAAAAAGAAGACAAGCACCCUGGUCCUUUUCUAAGAAAUUACAGGCGCCCUUGAAGAAAAAAUCUGAGUGUGUCCUACUACAUGCAAGAGUGCUGGAAAAAAAAAAAAAAAAAAAAAAAAAAAGAGACGCUCCUGCUCAAAAACAAAAACAAAAGCAAACAAACAAAAAUCCAAACCAAAACAAACCAAAAAAAGCAAACAUUGGCUGUAUAACUACAGAGACAUCGGGCUUUGUAAAUCAGCUUUUUAAGGCAACAUAACCAAAUGAGCCUUCUUUAUUUUUAUUAUUUCAAACCAUAUGGCAUAAUUAGCAAUAUAUUGCACUUGGUGAAAUCGCACCUUUCAUAUCAGGGAAAAACUUAAAAUGGAUAUGAAAAGUGAAGAAAGUGAUCAUAGGAGAAAACCAUUUCAGAUCAACCACCUCAGAAGAGCCAGAUUCCACUUCUGUGGCCAGGACUUUUACAUUAUGGCUGGUCCGAUUGUUUUACCCUGCGUUCUAUGCUACUAAACCUUGGAUCAUUCCUAAAGUACAAAUUCUGUUCUCGAACCACAAACAAGGCUAAAAGAUCGGAGGAAAUUCAGUGAAUAUACAGGAUUGGGGUGUCUGAUGAUUUGUGAGCCUCAAGUGACUACUCUGUGGAAUCAUCUGUCCUUGCCUUUGAAUUAGCUUUCCCUAGGCCAUGAGUCAACAUUAGUAGUUUAUACAUCCAAAUUGAUGACAAGAGCACCUCAAAGGCAGCAGCCUCAAGGAGCAGCCAUGGCCCCAGACUUGUCGCACGGAUGCAGAAAACUUAAUGGAGGAGGCUGAGGUCAGAAUGGGAAGAGUUUUUAAAAAAUAAAAAGGGGAGCUAAUAUGUGA